rnacentral:lncRNA from 1 species
UUGGACUAAACCAUGCUAACCAUUGCUAAAGCUCACAAUACGACAAGAUGGGAGAAAUGUCUGGGUCCUUGAUUGGCUUCAUAGAACAAAGCUCUCUCCACUGCCCACUAACUUUGAUUGGAUGGUGAUUAGGUUACAGUAUUGGCCCCAGGACUUCAUCAUGCACUGUAUCCAUGCCCUUUGCUACGACUUUGAAGUUCCUUCCACUGAAGGAGUGGAGUAUAUUUCCCUACCCGUUGAUUUUGGGUUCAGCCACAUGAUUUGCUUUGGUCAACAGAAUGAAAUGGAAGUAAUCGUGUUCAGUUCUGCACUUAGGCCUUAAGAGACUUCAUGUGUUUCUGCUUGCCUUCUUGUACUUCUACCAAUGCUAGAAGACUUCCCUGGGCCAGCCAGCUGCUCCAAGGAGGGUAGAGUUCAUCGUGGAGAGGACCAAGACAGAAGAUCAAGAAGAAUUUUUUUUUUAAUCUCUUCCCUUGUCCACCGAAAGACCAUCAAAACUAGAGAGAGAUUAUCAAAUGCCUGGUGACAAGUCCUCGGCUGCACUGGCUUCACAGGAGCUUAUGUGGAGAAGAAAAAGAAUUUGAGCCACAGCAACGAAACUCUAAAGUUGUUUCCAACUCUCUUACCAAAAGAGGCAUCCAGCCCAACAGCUCUCAACCUGGAGUAAAGCUCCCACGUGCCCUGUGGAGCAUCCUCGCUUUGAUUCCAUCCCUUUACUCCCAUUCAGAGAAUUCUACUUGAAUUUAAAUAAAUGACUCUUCUGCUAUUAUUGUGGUAAGCUUGAUUCUGCUGUGAUUUGAAAAGAACAAAAAAUAAAUUAUUGCAAAA